rnacentral:rRNA from 1 species
AGCGAACGCUGGCGGCAGGCCUAACACAUGCAAGUCGAACGGACCCUUCGGGGUUAGUGGCGGACGGGUGAGUAACACGUGGGAACGUGCCUUUAGGUUCGGAAUAGCUCCUGGAAACGGGUGGUAAUGCCGAAUGUACCCUUCGGGGGAAAGAUUUAUCGCCUUUAGAGCGGCCCGCGUCUGAUUAGCUAGUUGGUGGUGUAACGGACCACCAAGGCGACGAUCAGUAGCUGGUCUGAGAGGAUGAUCAGCCACAUUGGGACUGAGACACGGCCCAAACUCCUACGGGAGGCAGCAGUGGGGAAUCUUGCGCAAUGGGCGAAAGCCUGACGCAGCCAUGCCGCGUGAAUGAUGAAGGUCUUAGGAUUGUAAAAUUCUUUCACCGGGGACGAUAAUGACGGUACCCGGAGAAGAAGCCCCGGCUAACUUCGUGCCAGCCGCCGCCGUAAUAC